rfam:Ailuropoda melanoleuca scaffold919_37, whole genome shotgun sequence.
GCCUGGGUGGCACAGUGGUUAAGCAUCUGCCUUUGGCUCAGGGCAUGAUCCUGGCAUUGUGGGAUCGAGGCCCACCUCAGGCU